GCAACCCCGAACCCUAACUCCCUCUCCCCACCGCUCUCCUCCCUUUCCUGCUCCCCGCCGCCGCCACCCUCUCUCUCCCUCUCUCCUCUCUGCCUCGCCGAUGCCGCCUCCCCUCCCCGCCGUCGCCCCUCCUACUCUACGCAGCCGCCUCCAACUCUCGCGGGAUACAGAUCGCCAGCAGGCUACGGAGCGUACGCGCCGCGUCGGAGGGGGAUCUGGCGACGGCUAGGAGGUCUGCGGCGGUGGGGGUCAGCGAUAGGGAGAGCGGGAGCGGGGCGCGGAGAUGGAAGACUCGCUGGAAGAGGCGGAGGAAGUGGAGUUGGCUGCGGCAGUGGAAGCGGCGCGCGAGGUUCGGCAGCGCAAGCAGCUCGCAGGAGGCCCGUAGCGCGUCGACCAGCGGGAACACCGCGACAGGUAGAAGGUGUGCUGCCGCGAGCCACUCGAAGGCGUAGUCCAGCUGCAGAGCCUCGCGCGCCGAGGUCAAAGCCACGCCGCGGCUCGACCGGGGGCGUCCCGGCGUUGGUGGUGGCGCGGAGAUGGCGGCGGAACAGGACAUCCACGACCUGCCGCGGAACGACGCCAAACUAUGCGGCGCUCACGCCGCUCCGGUUCCUCGAGCGCGGCGCGCUGACCCACCCGGCCAGGGCCUUCGUCGUGCACGGGCCCGUGCGGUACACCUGGGCCGACACCUACAGCUGCUGCCACCGCCUCGCCUCCGCCCUCACGCGCCGGUCCGUCGGACACGGAAGCACGUGCGGGACAAUUGAUAUACAAGGCAGUUCUUAUUAGACAAGUGUGUUCUGAUUAUUAGCACCGACAACCACAAGCAAGCUCUCACGUGUAUGCUCAAUGUUACUCGAAAUAAAUCAAUUGAAAAGAUAAGCAUACAUUUUUUAUCACUUCUGUUUUACUGGUAAUGUUUGCUUGAUGCUAUUUUUGGUACAUAAUUUAUGACUCCCUGCGUAUAUGAGAGGAUAGCUAUAUCCUGAUUGUUCCUAUUUCCGUAAUUUCGGAACCAUCGCAUGAACACUGAAAUUAUUUCCCAGCAAAACUGGAGCAGAAUUCCUAUCUCUCUUGUCCAUUAUAUUGUUUGGGUAACAAAUUGUAGGAGUAGAUGCAGUUAGUAUCACCGAGUAUCUCUGUUCUCAAGGCGUCGCCUAGGCGUCCAUGCGCCGUCCACCGAUUUGCGCCUUGCUCGCCUAGGCGCCCGCCUUGCUCGCCUAGGCGUCCAGCCGCCCCAUCUUGCUAGGCGUCCGCCUUACCGCCUUGAGAACGGAGCCAAGUACAUUAUAAGAUACAAACAAUAGGAGAUGCAAGAGUUAUAUUGUUUGGGUUACUUUGCUUGAUUUCAGUUUUUAUAAACCAUAUAUGAAAGAGUUAUUGGCAAAAAAAAUGUAAUACACUAGGUACAACAAACAAAAAUAAAGAACUUUCUUCACCACUAAUAGCAGCAGCAGGCUUUGCGUGAUCUCGGAAUCUUGCAAUAGGUGAGGACUUCUAUGUUAAGGGGAUGGUACAGUGAGAGGAUCGCCUAUGAACAUUAUGAAAGGAAAUUCAGUCACAUCAAUACAUGUAAUCCAGCGUGGAUACUAAUUUACAAAUGAUUGCCUGAAUCAUUGCAACUUGUUCUGUGCAGUAUGCGUAUAACUUUUUCAAAUGAAUUUCUGAUCGAUUUAAUUCUCAAAAUGUGGAUAUGGGUUUCUCCCCUUCUCACUGGGAAGAAUAGUAUUAUGUUGUUUCAGUUUUGCCACUAUGGAUGUAGUCAUGUAGAACUCUCCUACACUCCAACAGUUUCAGUACUUUUAGUUGGAUAUGGGUUUAUCCUUAUUGUGGCGCUUCUCUUCACUGGCUUGCAUGCUUUCCAGCAAUACUCAAGGGGUGAGUGCCUUACAAUCACAAUUUAUUUUGAUGUAUUAACCAACUGGGGGUCUGCUGGCUGUUUAGCCCUCUUAGAAUGCUGCCUAGCAUGCAUGGGGUGCUCGAUAGGACAUGCAAUUUUUUGCAGCAUUUCUUCUGGGGGAUCAUAAGUGUAGCCAAUAUUUCUCUUAACCUUGCAGCGAUACUUGUGAUAUGCCCAUUGAUCUUUGGCUGGUUGCUUUUGAUAAGUUGAUAUCUGCACUUCAUAAUUGUUUGGUGUGAAAAUACCUCAGAAGACCCAACUUCUAUUUGCUUCAUCAUUUGCUUCUAAUGCCAUUCUCUGGCUUAUUGGAUGCAUCUGUUUGAAGCUUCACUACUCACUUUCCAGUCUUCUUCUCCCGGUGUGUCAAUUGUCAUACUAUAGUUUUGGUUCAGCAUGUCAGUAUGUAUGUUUUUUUUGUUGUUUCAGAAUUUAAACAGUGGAAUGCAUGUGUUUUGCUUGUCAAUAGGUAUUGAGGCUAGGAGUUAGUGCCCUUGUCGACACUACUGGAGGCCAAAUCAAGAUAGGGGAACCAUUCUGCAACUUUUAUUUCAAGUUUCUGCUGGGUCUUUUUCUCAGUGCUAUCUAUGUUGCAAUGGUCAUUCUUGUUCCUGUUGAAAUUGCUUUUCAUUUGGCACCUACUGUGUUCCCGUCAGACAUAUCACGUAAAUUCUCUAUGCCAGUCUUUGGCAUCUCAACUCAUUUGUUAAUUUAUGUUCGUGCUUGCAAAUUGCAGCUACUUUGAUCCUCCAAUUCAGGGCAGAUGGUGUCUGGGCCCUUUGACGGCGAUGAGGUCGCGGACCGGCUCACCUCCAACACCGGCAAGAUCAUCACCGACACAUCGUUGGGUUCGGGCCGAGGCGGAGGGAAGUAGAAGCAUUGCCAUCGCCGCCAACGGUUGCAGCAGACUAGCAUUCGUCCACCCAGAUGGUAGGGCGCGCAUCGCGCGCCUAAUGUUCUAGUAAAUGAAUUGUCCGCCUCUUCCUAUCAGCUUAAGUUUUUGGGUUGAAUUGGUUGGUGCAUGCGAUUCCUAUAUAAAUGUAGAUAUGUAUGGUUUCUUGGAAAUAUAAUGUCUCUAAAUUUAGGGGAAUUUCUCUUUUAAGUCUGGAUCA